rnacentral:lncRNA from 1 species
UCAGUUUUAUUGUCCUUUGUUUUUUAUUUUUUUUUAUUUCUUUUUCUAACAAGUUCUUUCUUCCUCUUUUUUAUUUUUCUUUCUGAAAAUUUUCACUUUAUUUUUUGUUUUUCAAAAUCAAUUUCUACUAUACAUCAGUUAACAUGUUUAAGUUCAGUUUCAUUCGUUCAAGUUUUGAUUUAAAGUGUUACUUUUUAAAAUAUUUAAAUUCACUUGGCUUGUGUUUAGACCAUUUUUUGUUUGGUCAAUUAAGAAAAAUAACUCUAUCAAUUAGUUACUAAUGAA